UGCCACUGUUCAUGUGCACACGUGGCAGG
rnacentral:piRNA from 1 species